rnacentral:pre_miRNA from 1 species
CCUCUCAGGAAAGCUUUUUGCUCGAAUUAUGUUUCUCAUCCAAAUAUAAGACGAACAAAAGGUUUGUCUGAGGGCCG